GCAGCCGCGGUAAUACGGAGGAUCCAAGCGUUAUCCGGAUUUAUUGGGUUUAAAGGGUGCGUAGGCGGAUUAGUAAGUUAGAGGUGAAAGCUCGGGGCUCAACUCCGGAACUGCCUCUGAUACUGCUGAUCUAGAGAGUAGAUGCGGUAGGCGGAAUGUAUGGUGUAGCGGUGAAAUGCUUAGAGAUCAUACAGAACACCGAUUGCGAAGGCAGCUUACCAAACUAUGUCUGACGUUGAGGCACGAAAGCGUGGGGAGCAAACAGGAUUAGAUACCCC
rnacentral:rRNA from 1 species